GUGUAAUGUCAGGUUCUACAAUUUUGCUUUGAGUAGUGCGUAACCGUUUGCAAGGUAUACCGGGUUUUUCAAAACCAAACACCUUUUUAUCAGUGUAAAUGCAAAAGCUUUCUUCCAAUUGCAACAGUAAACGCAUAAUGGGUACCACACUUUGGGGUGCUAACUGGGUCAUAUGCAGCGCUUUUUCCCGAGCAAAGUCAUAAAUUAAAGCACCGUUAGAGGAAAUAACCGGUAGAUCAGGUUGAAUAAACUGAGUGGUAUUGCGGAUUAAGAUAUGACUGCGCCCAGUCGCAAAGGUAAUUUUAAACCCCUGCUUUUGCAACUCUUUGAGAAAAGUAACAGUUUGUGGUAGUGGUUCAUGACCCCAAGACAAUAAAGUACCAUCGAGGUCAAAAAUUAAGUUUUGUACUUUUGGUUUCAUAGCUAUUCGGAUUUUAAAAGAACAUUAAUAAUACGAUUAGGGACAAAAACAACACGCGCUAAGGGUUGGUCGAACAACGCUUGGAAUUCCGGAUCUGUCUUAAAGGCUUUUAAGACAGUCUGUUCAUCAACCCCUUUAGCAAAUUCCUUGGUACCUUUGAAGCGACCGUUGACCGAAAGAAUAAUUUUAACCUUAUCGGUUUCAAGUACGCUGUUAUCAACAUUUGGUAGUUGAGCAUGAACAAUAAACGGCUCCAUCCCUAGUUUAGCGUUUAAUUCUUCCGCUAAAUAAGGUGCAAAAAACGAUAACACCGUCAAAAAGCCCUUUGCAUAAGCCAGGGUUAAUUGUUUUGUUUUGUAAAGCAGGUUUAAAAAGAUCAUCAUUUGGCUAAUUACCAAAUUGAGUUCUUGUUUCUCUAAGUGCUCGUAACUACGCUUUAAAAAGAGGUUAUAACCAUAAACAGUUUCUUGAUCUACCGUUUCUUUAAUAAUGUUUUCCUUGUGAAAGAAAUUGUGCACCCGAUCAAGUCAACGCCGCAUUCCGUUUAACCCAUCAUCCAAUCAGGUCAACGCCGCGCUAAUCGGCCCCAUAAACAUCAAGUAAAGUCGCAAGGCAUCAGCACCAUGAGAAUCAAUUAGUGGCGUAGGGUUGAUUGUGUUGCCCUUGGAUUUGGACAUCUUUUUGCCAUCUGGUCCCAAUACCAUGCCCUGGUUAAUUAACUUUUUAAAGGGCUCUUUAGUGGUGACUAUUCCCUUUUGGUACAAGAAUUGGUGCCAAAAGCGCGCGUACAAGAGGUGCAACACGGCAUGUUCGGCACCACCC
rnacentral:sRNA from 1 species